rnacentral:tRNA from 1 species
GGGGAGGUGCCAGAGUGGCCAAAUGGGGCGGGCUGUAAACCCGUUGGCGUUAUGCCUACGAUGGUUCGAAUCCAUCCCUCCCCA